rnacentral:rRNA from 1 species
CACUUUAAGCGGUGGAUCACUCGGCUCAUGGGUCGACGAAGAACGCAGCAAAAUGUGCGUCAUCGUGUGAACUGCAGAACACAUGAGCAUCGAUAUUUUGAACGCAUAUCGCAUUCCAUGCUGUUUUGUACUUAAAUUAAUUUUAUAGUUCUGCUUGGACUACAUAUGGUUAAGGGUUG